rnacentral:rRNA from 1 species
CCCGCUGAACUUAAGCAUAUCAGUAAGCGGAGGAAAAGAAACUAACGAGGAUUCCCCCAGUAACGGCGAGUGAAGCGGGAACAGCCCAUGGAUUAAAUGAAUUUCAAGUUCAUGAUGUACCGUGGAGAGUUUAAUGAUAUUUUGAUGAUUUUGCACAAGAUCUUUGGAAAGAGACGGCAUAGAGGGUGAUACCCCCGUGUUGCAAAAUGAUUUUGAUAUUAUUUUAGUCAGCGAGUCGGAUUGUUUGGGAAUGCAAUCCCAAUUGGGUGGUACGCGCCAUCUAAGGCUAAACAAGGGCAAGAGACCGAUAGCGAACAAGUACCGUGAGGGAAAGAUGAAAAGGACUCUGAAGAGAGAGUCAAAAGUGCGUGAAAUUGCAGCAAGGGAAACGAACGGUGAGUGAUAUGAUGAUGAGCGAGUUUACGUCUGGUUUGCAAGCAGUGGAGGUAUUGACAAGCAGUCAAACAUACAGCACAGCACAGGCACACUAAGGGCGACUCACACAACAUCACAGGCACUGUUUGACCCGUCUUGAAACACGG